AGAGUAUACACCACAGGCAAACAGCUUUUAUUUUGUGUGUGCUGGGGACGGGGGUGCGGUGGGCAACAUCUUAGCAGCAGGGUUGCCAACUGUUUUUACAAAAACCCGUCCACUUCUUCCUGAAAACCUGCCCAAUCAGGAGCGAUGGAAUGGUCUACAGUAUGAAAGGCAGCACUUAGAUCAAGAAGAAUUAAAACUGAAGGAAAGCCCAAGUCCGAGCUUAUCAGCAGAUCCUUCACACUCUGACAAGGGCUGUCUCGGUGCUAUGUGCAGCACAAAAACCAGACAUUAACAGCUCAGCUCAUCGCUACCACCCUCACGCUGAAUCAGGAGCGGCAAAGACGAACACACACUGUCCUCCGAAGCAUGUGCUGUCAGCCGACCGCUUCUUUUCACUCUGCAGGCCCGCCAUGCAGCGAACCCAGAGCUACAGCGUCAGAGGACAAUGCAGCUCUGGGCAGCUUACAGGCAAUCCCGCAGGGGCCCGGCCAGUCUACAGGGGUUGCUGCUGCGCAGUAAGCUGAGGACACCCUGGCUGACCUAAACAAUUGAGGCAACCUUGACCCCCACCACUUUUACAAUUUUGCCCAAGAGGAGGGAGCUGCACCUUCGGAACCCAGUGUUCCGGAACGGGUUAAUGACAGCGCGUUAUUAAUCGGUUAGAUUGUGCUCGCUCAUGAUACUAACACUGAGAUGUGUGUUUAGUUGUAAGGAAGUCCAUAAUCUUAGAGUUUCAUCUCUUUGCCGUCACG